GCGAGCCUGAUCCAGCAUGCCGCGUGAGUGAUGAAGGCCUUAGGGUUGUAAAGCUCUUUUACCAGGGAUGAUAAUGACAGUACCUGGAGAAUAAGCUCCGGCUAACUCCGUGCCAGCAGCCGCGGUAAUACGGAGGGAGCUAGCGUUGUUCGGAAUUACUGGGCGUAAAGCGCGCGUAGGCGGUUACUCAAGUCAGAGGUGAAAGCCCGGAGCUCAACUCCGGAACUGCCUUUGAAACUAGGUGACUAGAAUCUUGGAGAGGUCAGUGGAAUUCCGAGUGUAGAGGUGAAAUUCGUAGAUAUUCGGAAGAACACCAGUGGCGAAGGCGACUGACUGGACAAGUAUUGACGCUGAGGUGCGAAAGUGUGGGGAGCAAACAGGAUUAGAUACCCUGGUAGUCCACACCGUAAACGAUGAUAACUAGCUGUCCGGGUUCUUGGAAUUUGGGUGGCGCAGCUAACGCAUUAAGUUAUCCGCCUGGGGAGUACGGUCGCAAGAUUAAAACUCAAAUG
rnacentral:rRNA from 1 species